rnacentral:rRNA from 1 species
AUUGAACGCUGGCGGCAGGCCUAACACAUGCAAGUCGAACGAGUGGCGUACGUGUUAGUAAUGUCUGGGAAACUGCCCGAUGGUGGGGGAUAACUACUGGAAACAGUAGAUACUACCGCAUGCCAUCGGAUGUGCCCGAAUGUGAUUGGCUAGUAGGUGGGGUAACGGCUCACCUAGGCGACGAUCCCUAGUGGGUCUGAGAGGAUGACCAGCGACACUGGAACUGAGACACGGGCCAGACUCCGACGGGAGGCAGCAGUGGGGAAUAUUGCACAAGGGGCGCAAGCCUGAUGCAGCCAUGCCGCGUGUAUGAAGCCGGUCUACGGGUUGCAAAGCACUUUCAGCGAGGCGGCGUUACUCGUAGAAGAUGAACCGGCUGACGCCGUGCCAGCAGCCGCGGUAAUUC